GGGCGCGUAGCUCAGUGGUAGAGCACUGUGUUCACAUCGCAGGGGUCGCUGGUUCAAUCCCAGCCGCGCCCACCA
rnacentral:tRNA from 1 species